rnacentral:tRNA from 1 species
ACCCCCUUAGCUCAGUUUGGCAGAGCAACGGAUUCUUAAUCCGUGGGUCCGGGGUUCGAGUCCCCGAGGGGGUACCA